UUGUGGAACUUUGAACUUGAGACAGCUUAUUUAGGUUAUCUGGUCGAAGAAAUUUCUAAGCUACAAAGCAUUCAAGAGGUGAUUUGGUGUUUUUCUAAAAAUAUAU